AAUCCCUCCCCCUUCCUGAGUUACUCCCAACCCAACGCCUUAACCCUAUAAACUUCCCUCUCCUUCCCCUUCCCCUUCCCCCGAAUCCAUCCUACCUCGCCGCAACAAUCCAGAGAGAUCAUCGAGAGAGGAGUCCACCGGACCCAUGAGGAGCGGCGGCGACGUCAAGUCCUUCCGGCAGCGUCAAGCCCACCGGCGGCGUGCCGGCGUCUCCAAGAAGGCGCCCGCGUCGCAGGCGACGACAGAUCGCGCCGUCGAGGAGGCGGAGGAUGAGGGGCGAGAGAGGAUGGCUCGGGAGUUCGACAUGGACAUGCGGUAAGGAGCUAAGGGCCCUGCCUCGGCCUCACCCGCGCCGCCGCGCUCGGCCUCGCCCCACCGCCCGCCGUCAUCGCCUUCUGCUCCGACGACCAGCCAUGCCUCUGGGAGGGCCGCGUCUAGCUCUAGCAACACCAUCCACCACCACCCGAUCGGCCGAUCCGCUUCCAGAAAAUUAUAGUGUUUAUAAGUAGGAACAGCUUCUCCUCUGCUUCCAUCUGCCACGCCUCGUGGUGCUUGAUGAUCGUGUGUUCUUAUCUGAAAUUUAUGAUGUUAUUCUUCUCCCAGUUGGUAUGAUCUAUGGCAUUUUGAUUUGAUUACUACAAACUCUAAAAUCAUGGUAAAUUAAUCCAAACAUUUCAUUCCCUUA